rnacentral:rRNA from 1 species
CUUACACAUGCAGUCGAACGGAAAGGCCCUUUCGGGGGUACUCGAGUGGCGAACGGGUGAGUAACACGUGGGUGAUCUGCCCUGCACUUUGGGAUAAGCCUGGGAAACUGGGUCUAAUACCGAAUAUGAUCAUCGGCUUCAUGGUCGGUGGUGGAAAGCUUUUGCGGUGUGGGAUGGGCCCGCGGCCUAUCAGCUUGUUGGUGGGGUAAUGGCCUACCAAGGCGACGACGGGUAGCCGGCCUGAGAGGGUGUCCGGCCACACUGGGACUGAGAUACGGCCCAGACUCCUACGGGAGGCAGCAGUGGGGAAUAUUGCACAAUGGGCGCAAGCCUGAUGCAGCGACGCCGCGUGAGGGAUGACGGCCUUCGGGUUGUAAACCUCUUUCGCCAGGGACGAAGCGCAAGUGACGGUACCUGGAGAAGAAGCACCGGCCAACUACGUGCCAGCAGCCGCGGUAAUACGUAGGGUGCGAGCGUUGUCCGGAAUUACUGGGCGUAAAGAGCUCGUAGGUGGUUUGUCGCGUUGUUCGUGAAAACUCACAGCUUAACUGUGGGCGUGCGGGCGAUACGGGCAGACUGGAGUACUGCAGGGGAGACUGGAAUUCCUGGUGUAGCGGUGGAAUGCGCAGAUAUCAGGAGGAACACCGGUGGCGAAGGCGGGUCUCUGGGCAGUAACUGACGCUGAGGAGCGAAAGCGUGGGGAGCGAACAGGAUUAGAUACCCUGG